GUGCUUACUUCAGCAACACAUACACUAAAAUUGAAAUGAUAGACGAGAUAACCAUGGCUCCUGUGUAAGGAUGACAUGUAAAUUUGUGAAAUGUUCCAUUAAAAA